rnacentral:rRNA from 1 species
AGAAUCAACGCUGGCGGCGUGCCUAACACAUGCAAGUCGAACGAGAAAGUGGAGCAAUCCAUGAGUAAAGUGGCGCACGGGUGAGUAACACGUGACUAACCUACCCUUGAGUGGGGGAUAACCUAGAGAAAUCUGGGCUAAUACCGCAUAAUACCUUCGGGUCAAAGGAGCAAUUCGCUUAAGGAGGGGGUCGCGGCCGAUUAGUUAGUUGGCGGGGUAAUGGCCCACCAAGACUAUGAUCGGUAUCCGGCCUGAGAGGGCGCACGGACACACUGGAACUGAAACACGGUCCAGACUCCUACGGGAGGCAGCAGUGGGGAAUUUUGCGCAAUGGGGGAAACCCUGACGCAGCAACGCCGCGUGGAGGAUGAAGUCCCUUGGGACGUAAACUCCUUUCGAUCGGGACGAUAAUGACGGUACCGAGAGAAGAAGCCCGGCUAACUCGUGCCAGCAGCCGC